GGCCCCUUGGUCUAGGACGGUCGAGGACGCCUGAUUCUCAGUCAGGAGGACGCCGGUUCGAAUCCGGCAGGGGUCGCAA
rnacentral:tRNA from 1 species